rnacentral:rRNA from 1 species
GGGUUGUGAGGUUAAGCGACUAAGCGUACACGGUGGAUGCCCUGGCAGUCAGAGGCGAUGAAGGACGUGCUAAUCUGCGAAAAGCGCCGGCGAGGUGAUAUGAACCUUUGACCCGGCGAUGUCCGAAUGGGGAAACCCAGUGUGAUUCGUCACACUAUCGUUAACUGAAUACAUAGGUUAACGAGGCGAACCGGGGGAACUGAAACAUCUAAGUACCCCGAGGAAAAGAAAUCAACCGAGAUUCCCCCAGUAGCGGCGAGCGAACGGGGAGCAGCCCAGAGUCUGAAUCAGCUUGUGUGUUAGUGGAAGCGUCUGGAAAGUCGCACGGUACAGGGUGACAGUCCCGUACACGAAAGCACACAGGUUGUGAACUCGAAGAGUAGGGCGGGACACGUGGUAUCCUGUCUGAAUAUGGGGGGACCAUCCUCCAAGGCUAAAUACUCCUGACUGACCGAUAGUGAACCAGUACCGUGAGGGAAAGGCGAAAAGAACCCCGGCGAGGGGAGUGAAAAAGAACCUGAAACCGUGUACGUACAAGCAGUGGGAGCACCUUCGGGUGUGACUGCGUACCUUUUGUAUAAUGGGUCAGCGACUUAUAUUCUGUAGCAAGGUUAACCGUAUAGGGGAGCCGAAGGGAAACCGAGUCUUAACUGGGCGUUAAGUUGCAGGGUAUAGACCCGAAACCCGGUGAUCUAGCCAUGGGCAGGUUGAAGGUUGGGUAACACUAACUGGAGGACCGAACCGACUAAUGUUGAAAAAUUAGCGGAUGACUUGUGGCUGGGGGUGAAAGGCCAAUCAAACCGGGAGAUAGCUGGUUCUCCCCGAAAGCUAUUUAGGUAGCGCCUCGUGAACUCAUCUUCGGGGGUAGAGCACUGUUUCGGCUAGGGGGCCAUCCCGGCUUACCAACCCGAUGCAAACUACGAAUACCGAAGAAUGUUAUCACGGGAGACACACGGCGGGUGCUAACGUCCGUCGUGAAGAGGGAAACAACCCAGACCGCCAGCUAAGGUCCCAAAGUCAUGGUUAAGUGGGAAACGAUGUGGGAAGGCACAGACAGCCAGGAUGUUGGCUUAGAAGCAGCCAUCAUUUAAAGAAAGCGUAAUAGCUCACUGGUCGAGUCGGCCUGCGCGGAAGAUGUAACGGGGCUAAACCAUGCACCGAAGCUGCGGCAGCGACGCUUAUGCGUUGUUGGGUAGGGGAGCGUUCUGUAAGCCGUUGAAGGUGGCCUGUGAGGGUUGCUGGAGGUAUCAGAAGUGCGAAUGCUGACAUAAGUAACGAUAAAGCGGGUGAAAAGCCCGCUCGCCGGAAGACCAAGGGUUCCUGUCCAACGUUAAUCGGGGCAGGGUGAGUCGACCCCUAAGGCGAGGCCGAAAGGCGUAGUCGAUGGGAAACAGGUUAAUAUUCCUGUACUUGGUGUUACUGCGAAGGGGGGACGGAGAAGGCUAUGUUAGCCGGGCGACGGUUGUCCCGGUUUAAGCAUGUAGGCGGAACGAUUAGGUAAAUCCGGUCGUUUUUUAACGCUGAGGUGUGAUGACGAGGCACUACGGUGCUGAAGUAACAAAUGCCCUGCUUCCAGGAAAAGCCUCUAAGCAUCAGGUAACAUCAAAUCGUACCCCAAACCGACACAGGUGGUCAGGUAGAGAAUACCAAGGCGCUUGAGAGAACUCGGGUGAAGGAACUAGGCAAAAUGGUGCCGUAACUUCGGGAGAAGGCACGCUGAUAUGUAGGUGAAGCCCCUGCGGGUGGAGCUGAAAUCAGUCGAAGAUACCAGCUGGCUGCAACUGUUUAUUAAAAACACAGCACUGUGCAAACACGAAAGUGGACGUAUACGGUGUGACGCCUGCCCGGUGCCGGAAGGUUAAUUGAUGGGGUUAGCGGCAACGCGAAGCUCUUGAUCGAAGCCCCGGUAAACGGCGGCCGUAACUAUAACGGUCCUAAGGUAGCGAAAUUCCUUGUCGGGUAAGUUCCGACCUGCACGAAUGGCGUAAUGAUGGCCAGGCUGUCUCCACCCGAGACUCAGUGAAAUUGAACUCGCUGUGAAGAUGCAGUGUACCCGCGGCAAGACGGAAAGACCCCGUGAACCUUUACUAUAGCUUGACACUGAACACUGGUCCUUGAUGUGUAGGAUAGGUGGGAGGCUUUGAAGUGUGGACGCCAGUCUGCAUGGAGCCGUCCUUGAAAUACCACCCUUUAAUGGCUGGUGUUCUAACGUAGACCCGUGAUCCGGGUUGCGGACAGUGUCUGGUGGGUAGUUUGACUGGGGCGGUCUCCUCCCAAAGAGUAACGGAGGAGCACGAAGGUUAGCUAAUCCUGGUCGGACAUCAGGAGGUUAGUGCAAUGGCAUAAGCUAGCUUGACUGCGAGAGUGACGGCUCGAGCAGGUGCGAAAGCAGGUCAUAGUGAUCCGGUGGUUCUGAAUGGAAGGGCCAUCGCUCAACGGAUAAAAGGUACUCCGGGGAUAACAGGCUGAUACCGCCCAAGAGUUCAUAUCGACGGCGGUGUUUGGCACCUCGAUGUCGGCUCAUCACAUCCUGGGGCUGAAGUAGGUCCCAAGGGUAUGGCUGUUCGCCAUUUAAAGUGGUACGCGAGCUGGGUUUAGAACGUCGUGAGACAGUUCGGUCCCUAUCUGCCGUGGGCGCUGGAGAAUUGAGGGGGGCUGCUCCUAGUACGAGAGGACCGGAGUGGACGCAUCACUGGUGUUCGGGUUGUCAUGCCAAUGGCACUGCCCGGUAGCUAAAUGCGGAAAAGAUAAGUGCUGAAAGCAUCUAAGCACGAAACUUGCCCCGAGAUGAGUUCUCCCUGAGACUUUAAGUCUCCUGAAGGAACGUUAAAGACGAUGACGUUGAUAGGUCGGGUGUGUAAGCGCAGCGAUGCGUUGAGCUAACCGAUACUAAUGAACCGUGAGGCUUAACCUUACAACGCCGAAG